rnacentral:rRNA from 1 species
CGGAGUNUGUGGCGGGUAACCAAAGCAUACUUAGUGGCGAACGGGUGAGGAAUAGAUGGGUAACGUACCCCGGACUCAGGAAUAGCGGCGCCCUUCGGGGCUUUAGCGAAAGUGCCGGUAAUACCUGAUGAUAUCACCGCAUCUCCUGGUGUGGUGAUCAAGGGUCCGCCGGUCUGGGAGCGGCCCAUCUCCUAUCAGCUUGUUGGUGAGGUAAAAGCUCACCAAGGCGACGACAGGUACCAGGCGUGAGAGCGCGAUCUGGCACAUCGGGACUGAGACACUGCCCGGACAUCUACGGAUGGCUGCAGCAACGAAUAUUCCGCAAUGGGCGCAAGCCUGACGGAGCGACGCCGCGUGCAGGACGAAGCACCUCGGUGUGUAAACUGCUGUCAGGGAUUAGGAAGCAAGUGACCAAUCCCAAAGGAAGCCUCGGCUAACUCCGUGCCAGCAGCCGCGGUAAUACGGAGGAGGCAAGCGUUGUUCGGAAUUACUGGGCUUAAAGCGUGUGUAGGCGGGAUGGAAGGUAUCGUGUGAAAGCCCCCGGCUCAACCGGGGAACGGCACGGUAAACCGUCAUUCUUGAGGCCAGCAGGGGUACCUGGAACUUUGGGUGGAGCGGUGAAAUGCGUAGAUAUCCAAGGGAACGCCGGUGGCGAAAGCGGGGUACUGGGCUGGUUCUGACGCUGAGACACGAAAGCGUGGGGAGCAAACAGGAUUAGAUACCCUGGUAGUCCACGCCGUAAACGAUGUGCACUANNUAUCAGCGCCUCUGACGGGGUUGGUGCCNAAACAAAAGCNAUAAGUGCGCCGCCUGGGGNGUANNNCCGCAAGGCUAAAACU